CCAUCAGAGCACACACACACACACACACAUAUACAAACCCCCACAUUCAUUUGCAUCUCUCUGGCUCCCACUGACCAACCUGCAAUGGCUUCUCCACAAAUGACAAUGGCGAUCUUCUUCGUCGUCCUCCUGGCAUCAUCUUCACCUUGUCUCGCUCGAGCUAGGCUAAUGAUCUUAAGUAGUGAUCACCAAGCACAACCAGAUAGCAAUACUAGCCCUGCGGCCAGCUCUACAACUACUACGACCACCUCACCUCAGCAGCUGGUACAAGGAGUAGUGGCCGCAGUGCCGUCGCCGCCGGCGACCGGCGAGGUCGACGUCGACCAUCCUGAGAGCAACGGCGGCUGGAUGCCGGACGGAUCGGUGCCGAGCCCCGGCGUCGGCCACCAUCCAUAGAGAUGGCGCGUCGCGUGUAGUUGUGUACCGUACCGUACAUACUUUGUGAAUCUGGCUUAUUCAUAUAUAUACCUAACUAAAGCUAGGUAGUGUGUGUUUGUGUGUGUGUGUAUGUAUGUGGCGAUCGAUCAAGGGGUGCUCCAGUGCUUGCAUGUUCGAUCUUUCUUGUUCUAUAUACGUUCAAAAAUUUAAAUAAAAAAAAGUUUCAAAGCGAAUACAAAAUUAAGCAGAUAGGAUCAGCUUCAUUUUUGUUUUGAGUGGCGAAUGAGUGCCAAUAUAUGAAUAAUGCUGCGAGAGGCGACAGCGACAUCGACAGAUUGCGCCGGAUUUGAUUUUAUUUCUGUGUUAAUUGGAGUCGUGCGUGUCCCAGUGGCGCCACUAUAUGUAUUGACGCUUAAUGUUAAUGGAAAUUAAUUAGGGCACUUGCUGCCAAUUUGCCUUUUAA
rnacentral:lncRNA from 1 species